rnacentral:rRNA from 1 species
CAGCAGCCGCGGUAACACGAAGGGGGCUAGCGUUGCUCGGAAUUACUGGGCGUAAAGCGUGCGCAGGCGGCUAUGCAAGACAGAUGUGAAAUCCCCGGGCUCAACCUGGGAACUGCAUUCGUGACUGCAUGGCUAGAGUACGGUAGAGGGGGAUGGAAUUCCGCGUGUAGCAGUGAAAUGCGUAGAUAUGCGGAGGAACACCGAUGGCGAAGGCAAUCCCCUGGACCUGUACUGACGCUCAUGCACGAAAGCGUGGGGAGCAAACAGGAUUAGAUACCCGAGUAGUCCCUGUCUCUUAUCA